CUGUUAUAGCUAUAUAUGCAUUGACGCUCUAUCGAACACCCCCAUUUUGUCCAAGUGUACAGGUCAGUGAGAGCGGCCCAGCUUUGAAGAGGCAUAGAGAAAUGAAUAAUCACAGGUGACCCUCACAAACACUGUACAGGACGACGAUGCGCGCGCACCGACUAACACGGGCGGUCUAGGAAAGUGACAAAAAAGUAACAGAGAGAGAGUCUCGACACAU
ensembl:ncRNA F09E5.22 ncRNA